UACGGAGGGUGCGAGCGUUGUCCGGAAUUACUGGGCGUAAAGAGCUCGUAGGUGGUUUGUCGCGUUGUUCGUGAAAACUCACAGCUUAACUGUGGGCGUGCGGGCGAUACGGGCAGACUUGAGUACUGCAGGGGAGACUGGAAUUCCUGGUGUAGCGGUGGAAUGCGCAGAGUAUCAGGAGGAACACCGGUGGCGAAGGCGGGUCUCUGGGCAGUAACUGACGCUGAGGAGCGAAAGCGUGGGGAGCGAACAGG
rnacentral:rRNA from 1 species